CUGAGUAAAUGCUGUAGCUCGUCGGCGUUCUAACCCAGAAAGACCCGCGACUACUGCGCCGCAGCAGCGGUGAUACGUCAGAUGCUACAGUAUCAUGCAGUAUUAGUGCGUAUAGAGCGCACAGCACGCUGUCUGAUGUCUCAUGAUGAAAGAUCACGGGUCUACACCUGAGGAUCACAUGCAAACUAGGGGCACUUGUGAGCAGUAGUAGAAGAGCGUAGUUUCACAUGUAGCGCUGAGAUAUGUAGUAGAUGAUGGAGGAAGCAUCACCUGUCGAAGACGGCGGCUCCGGUGUGUAAGUGACGACUGCUGACGCGAAAGAGCGUGGAGCAGCACACGAUUAGAUAUACUGGUAGUAGUACACCGUAAACGAGAAGUCGUAAGUGAGAGAGUGUCUCUGCCCCGUAGUGUCGCAAGUUACGCAUUAAGCUCUCCGCCUGGGGAAUUCGGUCGCAAGGGUGAAAAUCAAAGGAAAUGGCGGGGGGCCGCCCCAACGGUGGGGCCAGUGGUUUAAUUUGAAGCAACGGGAAGAACCUUACCAGGUUUUGACCUUCUAUGGCAAUUCUAGAGAUAGAGAGUUCCCCUUCGGGAGACAGAAUGCCAGGUGGGCCAGGGUGUUGUUCAGUUCGUGUCGUAAGAUGUGGGGUUAAUUCCCCCAACGAGCCCAACCCUUUCUUUUAGUUCCCACCAUUUAGCCGGGCACUCUAAGGAGACUGCCGGUGACAAACCGGAGGAAGGUGGGGAUGACGUCAAAUCAUCAUGCCCCUUAUGACCUGGGCUACACACGUGCUACAAUGGAUGGUACAAAGGGAAGCAAGACUCGCGAGGUCAAGCCAAUCUCAUAAAACCAUUCUCAGUUCGGAUUGUAGGCUGCAACUCGCCUACAUGAAAGUGGAAUCGCUUGUAAUUGGUGAUCAGCAAGCCGCGGGGAAUACGUUCCCGGGCCUUGUACCCCCCCCCCCUCCCCCCCCGAGGAGUGGUAACACCCGAAGUCGGUGAGUAACCGUAAGGAGGGCCCGCCUCACGGUGACCCGGG
rnacentral:rRNA from 1 species